rnacentral:rRNA from 1 species
AGUAGAACGCUGAAGCUUGGUGCUUGCACCGAGCGGAUGAGUUGCGAACGGGUGAGUAACGCGUAGGUAACCUGCCUCUUAGCGGGGGAUAACUAUCGGAAACGAUAGCUAAUACCGCAUAAAAGACGAUAUCGCAUGAUAUUGAUUUGAAAGGUGCAAAUGCAUCACUAAGAGAUGGACCUGCGUCGUAUUAGCUAGUUGGUGAGGUAACGGCUCACCAAGGCAACGAUACAUAGCCGACCUGAGAGGGUGAUCGGCCACACUGGGACUGAGACACGGCCCAGACUCCUACGGGAGGCAGCAGUAGGGAAUCUUCGGCAAUGGGGGCAACCCUGACCGAGCAACGCCGCGUGAGUGAAGAAGGUUUUCGGAUCGUAAAGCUCUGUUGUAAGAGAAGAACGAGUGUGAGAGUGGAAAGUUCACACUGUGACGGUAACUUACCAGAAAGGGACGGCUAACUACGUGCCAGCAGCCGCGGUAAUACGUAGGUCCCGAGCGUUAUCCGGAUUUAUUGGGCGUAAAGCGAGCGCAGGCGGUUAGAUAAGUCUGAAGUUAAAGGCUGUGGCUUAACCAUAGUACGCUUUGGAAACUGUUUAACUUGAGUGCAGAAGGGGAGAGUGGAAUUCCAUGUGUAGCGGUGAAAUGCGUAGAUAUAUGGAGGAACACCGGUGGCGAAAGCGGCUCUCUGGUCUGUAACUGACGCUGAGGCUCGAAAG